GUCCUACUCCCUCCGUCCGGAAAUACUUGUCAUAGAAAUAGAUGUAUCUAGACGCAAUAGUUCUAAAUACAUCUAUUUUUAUUCAUUUUUACGACAAGUAAUUUCAGACGGAGGGAGUACAUG
rfam:Triticum aestivum genome assembly, contig: Triticum_aestivum_CS42_TGACv1_scaffold_146889_2BS